ACCCUCUAUGGUGUAGUUGGUAGCACCUUUUCUUAGUAAUUAGAAGUCCCAGGUUGAAUUCCCGGUCGGGGUA